UACGUAGGGGGCUAGCGUUGUCCGGAAUCAUUGGGCGUAAAGCGCGCGUAGGCGGCCCGGUAAGUCCGCUGUGAAAGUCAAAGGCUCAACCUUUGAAUGUCAGCGGAUACUGCCGGGCUAGAGUCCGGAAGAGGCGAGUGGAACUCCUGGUGUAGCGGUGGAAUGCGCAGAUAUCAGGAGGAACACCGGUGGCGAAGGCGGAUCUCUGGGCCGUACCUGACGCUGAGGCGCGAAAGCUAGGGGAGCGAACAGG
rnacentral:rRNA from 1 species